CGUCUAUAUACGUAUAGCAUAUCAAUAAGCGGAGGAAAAGAAACUAACUAAGGAUUCCCUCAGUAACGGCGAGUGAAGCGGGAAGAGCUCAAAUUUGAAAUCUUCAAGGUUCUACCUUGACGAAUUGUAGUUUAAAGAAGUGUUUUCUGUUGGAGUUUUGGUAAAAGUUCUUUGGAAUAGGACAUCAUAGAGGGUGAGAAUCCCGUAUUUGACCAUUAUUUCCAACUUUGUGAUACACUUUCAAAGAGUCGGAUUGUUUGGGAAUGCAGUCCAAAAUGGGUGGUAAAUUUCAUCUAAAGCUAAAUACUGGCGAGAGACCGAUAGCGAACAAGUACCGUGAGGGAAAGAUGAAAAGAACUUUGAAAAGAGAGUUAAACAGUACGUGAAAUUGUCAAAAGGGAAGCGUUUGACACCAGUGUUGUUUUCUCGAAAAUCAAUUAAAAAUGGUGGGAUUUUGUGUUGUAUUGACUUUAUCAGCUUUCUGCACUUUUUUCCUAGUCUUUUCUAAUGCACUUUUCGUUUAACAAGUCAACAUCAAUUUCCUUUGUUGUAAAAGGGUCAUUGGAAGGUGGCUUUCUUUUCGGAGAAAGUGUUUAUAGCCUUUGGCCUCUGUAAUCGGAGAGAUUGAGGUCUGCAACGUAGAUCCUUCGGGGUUAGAUGCAUUUGUGCUAAGUUAUAGCCUUUCAUAGACAACUUGUUGACUAUGAUCAGUCAUGUAGCUUACUCGCUUAUGUCAUUUUACCUACGCUUAGGAUGUUGACGAUCAGCUGAGCGCG
rnacentral:rRNA from 1 species